rnacentral:rRNA from 1 species
UACGUAGGGUGCGAGCGUUAAUCGGAAUUACUGGGCGUAAAGCGUGCGCAGGCGGUUUUGUAAGCCAGAUGUGAAAUCCCAGGGCUUAACCUGGGAAUGGCAUUUGGGACUGCAAGGCUUGAGUGCGGCAGAGGAGACUGGAAUUCCUGGUGUAGCAGUGAAAUGCGUAGAUAUCAGGAGGAACACCGAUGGCGAAGGCAGCCCCCUGGGCUAGCACUGACGCUCAGGCACGAAAGCGUGGGGAGCAAACAGG